rnacentral:rRNA from 1 species
GAAAUCUAUAUUAUAUUAAUAAUAUCGAAAUGUCGUGUAUAGGUUUUAUUAUUAUUAAUAAAUUAUUAUUAAAUAAUUGUAUUUAAAUAUACAGCCACAGAAGGUGCCAGCCCUGUUAUUUAAUAAUAUUUAUUAAAUUUAUAAAACUUUAGAGUCGUGUUGCUUGGAAGUGCAGCACAAAGUUGGUGAUAAACAUCAUCUAAGGCUAAAUAUUCCUAUGAAUCCGAUAGCGAACAAGUACUGUGAAGGAAAAUUGCAAAGUACUCCGGAGAGAGAGUUAAAGAGGACGUGAAACCGAUACGAUGGAAGCAUACAGAGCCAGUUGCACUAUUAUUAAUAAUAAUUUAUUUUAUUAUUAAUAAUUUUAAGCAUGGGUAUAUUGAUUAAUAAUUAAUUAUUUAUUAAAGAGUGAUAAAAUUUUUUAAAUUUUGUUAACUUUAAUAAAAUAAUUAUAUUUUUAAUUAAUAUUUAUAUAAAUUAUUAAUAUAUUAAUAAUAUAUUAUUUUAUUAUAAUAAUAUAAGACACAUGUGUUAAAUAUUAUUUUAUUAAUAAUUAAUAUAUUAUUAUAAAUUAAUAAACCUAUGUAA